CGGGAAUUUUGGGCAAUGGGCGAGAGCCUGACCCAGCAACGCCGCGUGAGGGAUGAAGUAUUUCGGUAUGUAAACCUCGAAAGAAUGGGAAGAAUAAAUGACGGUACCAUUUAUAAGCUCCGGCUAACUACGUGCCAGCAGCCGCGGUAAUACGUAGGGAGCAAGCGUUGUUCGGAUUUACUGGGCGUAAAGGGCGCGUAGGCGGCGCGGUAAGUCACUUGUGAAAUCUCUGAGCUUAACUCAGAACGGCCAAGUGAUACUGCUGUGCUAGAGUGCGGAAGAGGCAACCGGAAUUCUUGGUGUAGCGGUGAAAUGCGUAGAUAUCAAGAGGAACACCUGAGGCGAAGGCGGGUUGCUGGGCCGACACUGACGCUGAUGCGCGAAAGCCAGGGGAGCAAAC
rnacentral:rRNA from 1 species